GACGAACGCUGGCGGCGUGCUUAACACAUGCAAGUCGAACGCUGAAACUCCAGCUUGCUGGGGUGGAGGAGUGGCGAACGGGUGAGUAACACGUGAGUAACCUGCCCCUGACUCUGGGAUAAGCGCUAGAAAUGGCGCCUAAUACUGGAUACGACCUAUCACCGCAUGGUGUGUGGGUGGAAAGAUUUAUCGGUUGGGGAUGGACUCGCGGCCUAUCAGCUUGUUGGUGAGGUAAUGGCUCACCAAGGCUUCGAUCAGUAGCUGGUCUGAGAGGACGAACAGCCACACUGGAACUGAGACACGGUCCAGACUCCUACGGGAGGCAGCAGUGGGGAAUUUUGGACAAUGGGGGCAACCCUGAUCCAGCCAUUCCGCGUGAGUGAAGAAGGCCUUCGGGUUGUAAAGCUCUUUCGCAAGGGAAGAAACGAUACAGUCGAAUAAACUGUGUUAAUGACGGUACCUUGAUAAGAAGCACCGGCUAACUACGUGCCAGCAGCCGCCGUAA
rnacentral:rRNA from 1 species